rnacentral:tRNA from 1 species
UAUAUUAUAGUAUUAGUAUGUAUUUAAAUUUUUGAAAUUUAAGGAUUUAGUUAAUAGCUAAGUAAUAUAA